rnacentral:rRNA from 1 species
UACGGGGGGGGCAAGCGUUGUUCGGAAUUACUGGGCGUAAAGGGCUCGUAGGCGGCCAACUAAGUCAGACGUGAAAUCCCUCGGCUUAACCGGGGAACUGCGUCUGAUACUGGAUGGCUUGAAAUUGGGAGAGGGAUGCGGAAUUCCAGGUGUAGCGGUGAAAUGCGUAGAUAUCUGGAGGAACACCGGUGGCGAAGGCGGCAUCCUGGGGCAACACUGACGCUGAGUGAGCGAAAGCCAGGGGAGCAAACGGG